CUUGGUCAUUUAGAGGAAGUAAAAGUCGUAACAAGGUUUCCGUAGGUGAACCUGCGGAAGGAUCAUUCACAAACGAGUGUUUUAUGGCACUCUUUAAAAAUCCAUAUCCACCUUGUGUGCAAUGUUUGUUGGGAAAGUCUUUUCUUUCCCUUCAUAAAUAUCAACCUAUAUCUUUAACAACAUUCGUCUGAUAACAUAUUAUGAAUAUACUUAAUUCAAAAUAUAACUUUCAACAACGGAUCUCUUGGCUCUCGCAUCGAUGAAGAACGCAGCGAAAUGCGAUACGUAAUGUGAAUUGCAGAAUUCAGUGAAUCAUCGAAUCUUUGAACGCAUAUUGCGCUCUUUGGUAUUCCGAAGAGCAUGCUUGUUUGAGUAUCAGUAAACACCUCAACCUCUCUUUUUUGAUAAAAAAAAGGGAGGGUGGACUUGAGCUAUCCCAACGACCUUCACCGGUAGGCGGGCGGCUUGAAAUGCAGGUGCAGCUGGACUUUUAUCUGAGCUAAAAGCAUAUCUAUUUAGUCCUCGUCAAACAGGAUUAUUACUUUUGCUGCAGCUAACAUAAAGGAUAAUUGUCCUCUUUGCUGACUGGUGCAGGAUUUUACGACACUUUAUGUGUUGUUCAACUCGAUCUCAAAUCAAGUGAGACUACCCGCUGAACUUAAGCAUAUCAAUAAGCGGAGGA
rnacentral:rRNA from 1 species